rnacentral:rRNA from 1 species
AGAGCGAACGCUGGCGGCAGGCCUAACACAUGCAAGUCGAGCGCGUGUAGCAAUACACGAGCGGCAGACGGGAGAGUAACACGUGGGAACGCGCCCUUCGGUUCGGAAUAACUCAGGGAAACUUGAGCUAAUACCGGAUACGCCCUUACGGGGAAAGAUUUAUCGCCGAAGGAACGGCCCGCGUCGGAUUAGCUAGUUGGUGAGGUAACGGCUCACCAAGGCGACGAUCCGUAGCUGGUCUAAGAGGAUGAUCAGCCUCACUGGGACUGAGACACGGCCCAGACUCCUACGGGAGGCAGCAGUGGGGAAUAUGGACAAUGGGCGCAAGCCUGAUCCAGCCAUGCCGCGUGGAUGAUGAAGGCCUUAGGGUUGUAAAGUCCUUUCAGCGGGGAAGAUAAUGACGGUACCGCAGAAGAACGCCCGCUAACUUCGUGCCAGCAGCCGC